rnacentral:tRNA from 1 species
GGCGCUGUGGCUCAGUGGGUUAAAGCCCUGGCCUGCAACACUGGCGUCCCAUAUGGGCGCGGGUUCGAGUCCCGGCUGCUCCU